GGGUUGUGAGGUUAAGCGACUAAGCGUACACGGUGGAUGCCCUGGCAGUCAGAGGCGAUGAAGGACGUGCUAAUCUGCGAUAAGCGCCGGUAAGGUGAUAUGAACCGUUAUAACCGGCGAUUUCCGAAUGGGGAAACCCAGUGUGAUUCGUCACACUAUCAUUAACUGAAUCCAUAGGUUAAUGAGGCGAACCGGGGGAACUGAAACAUCUAAGUACCCCGAGGAAAAGAAAUCAACCGAGAUUCCCCCAGUAGCGGCGAGCGAACGGGGAGGAGCCCAGAGCCUGAAUCAGCAUGUGUGUUAGUGGAAGCGUCUGGAAAGGCGCGCGAUACAGGGUGACAGCCCCGUACACAAAAGCGCAUGUGCUGUGAGCUCGAUGAGUAGGGCGGGACACGUGGUAUCCUGUCUGAAUAUGGGGGGACCAUCCUCCAAGGCUAAAUACUCCUGACUGACCGAUAGUGAACCAGUACCGUGAGGGAAAGGCGAAAAGAACCCCGGCGAGGGGAGUGAAAAAGAACCUGAAACCGUGUACGUACAAGCAGUGGGAGCACCCUUCGGGGUGUGACUGCGUACCUUUUGUAUAAUGGGUCAGCGACUUAUAUUCUGUAGCAAGGUUAACCGUAUAGGGGAGCCGGAGGGAAACCGAGUCUUAAUUGGGCGUUAAGUUGCAGGGUAUAGACCCGAAACCCGGUGAUCUAGCCA
rnacentral:rRNA from 1 species